rnacentral:rRNA from 1 species
GAUGAACGCUGGCGGCGUGCCUAAUACAUGCAAGUCGAGCGAACAGACAAGGAGCUUGCUCCUUUGACGUUAGCGGCGGACGGGUGAGUAACACGUGGGUAACCUACCUAUAAGACUGGGAUAACUUCGGGAAACCGGAGCUAAUACCGGAUAAUAUUUCGAACCGCAUGGUUCGAUAGUGAAAGAUGGUUUUGCUAUCACUUAUAGAUGGACCCGCGCCGUAUUAGCUAGUUGGUAAGGUAACGGCUUACCAAGGCGACGAUACGUAGCCGACCUGAGAGGGUGAUCGGCCACACUGGAACUGAGACACGGUCCAGACUCCUACGGGAGGCAGCAGUAGGGAAUCUUCCGCAAUGGGCGAAAGCCUGACGGAGCAACGCCGCGUGAGUGAUGAAGGUCUUCGGAUCGUAAAACUCUGUUAUUAGGGAAGAACAUACGUGUAAGUAACUAUGCACGUCUUGACGGUACCUAAUCAGAAAGCCACGGCUAACUACGUGCCAGCAGCCGCGGUAAUACGUAGGUGGCAAGCGUUAUCCGGAAUUAUUGGGCGUAAAGCGCGCGUAGCGGUUUUUUAAGUCUGAUGUGAAAGCCCACGGCUCAACCGUGGAGGGUCAUUGGAAACUGGAAAACUUGAGUGCAGAAGAGGAAAGUGGAAUUCCAUGUGUAGCGGUGAAAUGCGCAGAGAUAUGGAGGAACACCAGUGGCGAAGGCGACUUUCUGGUCUGUAACUGACGCUGAUGUGCGAAAGCGUGGGGAUCAAACAGGAUUAGAUACCCUGGUAGUCCACGCCGUAAACGAUGAGUGCUAAGUGUUAGGGGGUUUCCGCCCCUUAGUGCUGCAGCUAACGCAUUAAGCACUCCGCCUGGGUAGUACGACCGCAAGGUUGAAACUCAAAGGAAUUGACGGGGACCCGCACAAGCGGUGGAGCAUGUGGUUUAAUUCGAAGCAACGCGAAGAACCUUACCAAAUCUUGACAUCCUUUGACAACUCUAGAGAUAGAGCUUUCCCCUUCGGGGGACAAAGUGACAGGUGGUGCAUGGUUGUCGUCAGCUCGUGUCGUGAGAUGUUGGGUUAAGUCCCGCAACGAGCGCAACCCUUAAGCUUAGUUGCCAUCAUUAAGUUGGGCACUCUAAGUUGACUGCCGGUGACAAACCGGAGGAAGGUGGGGAUGACGUCAAAUCAUCAUGCCCCUUAUGAUUUGGGCUACACACGUGCUACAAUGGACAAUACAAAGGGCAGCGAAACCGCGAGGUCAAGCAAAUCCCAUAAAGUUGUUCUCAGUUCGGAUUGUAGUCUGCAACUCGACUACAUGAAGCUGGAAUCGCUAGUAAUCGUAGAUCAGCAUGCUACGGUGAAUACGUUCCCGGGUCU